rnacentral:tRNA from 1 species
CGGAGCGUGGUGUAGUGGUAGCACGCAUGCUUUGGGAGCAUGCAGCCCGAGUUCGAAUCUCGGCGCUCCGA